rnacentral:rRNA from 1 species
AUUGAACGCUGGCGGCAGGCCUAACACAUGCAAGUCGAGCGAGUGGCGGACGGGUGAGUAAUGUCUGGGGAACUGCCCGAUGGAGGGGGAUAACUACUGGAAACGGUAGCUAAUACCGCAUACCAUCGGAUGUACCCAUAUGGGAUUAGCUAGUAGGUGGGGUAACGGCUCACCUAGGCGACGAUCCCUAGCUGGUCUGAGAGGAUGACCAGCCACACGGGAACUGAGACACGGCCCAGACUCCUACGGGAGGCAGCAGUGGGGAAUAUUGCACAAUGGGCGCAAGCCUGAUGCAGCCAUGCCGCGUGUAUGAAGAAGGCCUUCGGGUUGUAAAGUACUUUCAGUCGGGAGGCGUUACCGGCAGAAGAAGCACCGGCUAACUCCGUGCCAGCCGCCGCGGUAAUAC